ACUUUUAAAGGAUAAAAGUAAUCCACUGGUUUUAGAAACCACAAACUCUUGGUGCAACUCCAAGUAAAAGUA
rnacentral:tRNA from 1 species